UAUUGCACUUCCACGGAUGCCUCAGAAGGAGGACCUCUGCUCCCUGACUAUCGUUGACCGCAGGCUUCAGCUCUCAGAAGAUUAGUGAAAGAUGAUGGCUGAUCUGGAGCAUCUUCGCUGAGGACAAAACGAGAUAGAUGACGCUUUGGAGACAUCUUUCUGGGGACGUGAAUGUGUGAGGGCGAGGCCAGACUCAGGACCUGAAGUGGCAGUGCAGCGCCCCACUCCAGUGACAGAGCUUGAUCAAUGGGUGAAGCUCGUGGAUCCACUUUCCCUCUGGAUGAGGGUUUUUGCAGAAGGACCUUCAGUUCCUCGUGCAAAUGGACUUUUGUCCCCCUGUCAGUACCCCAGCUAACUGUUCCACUAGGACCCCACCUGAAUUAUAUUAGAGCAGUUGUGAACUCAGGAGAGCAGCCUCACUGCCGUGCUGACGAUUUGCCCUGAGUCAGGCCCGGUCCUGCACAAAGCCCCAGCCAGGGCAGGUGUUCCCAAGCAGCAACAGAGAACGGAGGUCCCUUUUUGAGAAGACCCGAGACAAUGAUGUGCUUCCACGCCAGAAUGGGAAGAAAUGGUCCAAGAGAGCAAACCAGAAGUAAGAGCAAAAGUGAAGGGGAGCAGUGUGCUUGACAUCCAUUUUGAUAUCACUGAGGCCCAGGUAGAUCUUUCUGCUUUGAGAUGAACUGCUGUAGUAUAUCCUGCUGCUGGACAGAAGUGGUAAGAACCUUCUGCCCAGGCAGUGGAAUGACUCUUUGGCCAGCCAACUUGACAUUCAUUGAUUCUCCUAUCGGAACGAUGUUCCUGUUCAAUUUCCUCCAUAGUCACCCCUGACGUGUUUACUGGGAGAUGAAAUGUGAUCCUUUUGGGAAGCAGAGCUUUUGUGAUCCACUUCCUGAUGUAACAAAUACCAAGGUCAAGGCUUAGGGGUUAGGCAUGUAGGCUAUUGUCAGACAACCCGGGGCUUUCUUUGGUAAUGAGGUCCCUUAAAAGCUUAGGAGUUUCAUCUUUGCUUCUAGGAAUUUCAGUGGGCACUCAGGUACCCAGAGUUAGGUGUCUUCUCUGCCUCUGUGCCAUGUUCACUCCCCUGGCAUAAAGUUUAACUUCCUCACCUUGGAUUAUUUCAAGCGUUGGAUCGUUUGCAAAAGCAGCAACAAUAAUCCUCUCCUUGACCCCAUACUUCAUUCUAGAUACAGCUUCCCAGGGAACAGGGAGUACUUACAAGAAGGUGGCAGAAAGAGGCCUGUGACAACAGGCUCAUCUUUCCCCUCAGUGUUGUCUGUUUCUCAGUCUUCUGCAUCUUCCAUGUCUAACUGUAGCUUGGGUGGACAACACAGCCUUUCUGACCUUGACCAUCUCCAGAUUCUUGGCCCUGCAUUCAACUUGGAUUUUAGGGCAAGAGCACAAAAGGCCUCCUGUUAAUAAAGCUGUGUGGUUUUCUCUC